rnacentral:lncRNA from 1 species
CCAGAAAGGCAUGUAACCUACAUAAAAUGUCUGUCAAUAUUUUCCACCCAUCUUGGAGGCUACAGUUAUAGCAGUGACCCCUCCAAAAACAGGAGACACAAGUUGGCUGACGAAGCAUCAGAAUCUCCUUCAAGAGGCAGCACUUACUUUUGAUAGGUUAUUCCCUAAGAAGGUGAUGUAACAGGCACAGCUGCAGGAGGGUAAUGAAGAAGGAAGAGUUAUUAUUGCAAAGAAGAUAAACAAACAACACUGGAAAAAACCUUUCUUCAGGGGAAGAACUUCUGAAUUGAUUUGUUGUUUGUGCACUUGUUUGUUUCACACAACACCGCAUGAAU